rnacentral:lncRNA from 1 species
GAUACUAUGCCAAAAAAUUUUUGUAAAUGGGAAUUAUAUUUGUCUCCUUAGAAGUGGCAUUAUGGAAUAAUAAUAGGAGUGAAACAUUUGGUUUCAAAAGUGUUUAACAUUAAUUAUUAUUUUUUUAGUGGUAGCAAAAUCUCUGAAACUAUUUUAAUAGUCAACAAAUAGAGGAAAUCAGCAUCAAGUGUGAUAUAUUUGCACCAUAUAAUACCACACUCAUUUCUAAUUUGAAAUAAUUUUUAGUGAUACAGAUAGUUGCAACAUGUUGCUAUGUAAUUAAAAAGCAGGCCUCAAAAUAGUUCCAAUAAGGGGCUGGGGAUGUGGCUCAAGCGGUAGCACACUCGCCUGGCAUUCGUGCUGCCUGGGUUCGGUCCUCAGCACCACAUACAAAAAAAAAGAUGUUGUGUCCACCAAAAACUAAAAAAUAAAUAUUAAAAUUCUCUCUCUCUCUCCCUCUCUCUAUCUCACUCUAUCUUUUAAAAAAAUAGCUCCAAUAACAUGUAUUCUCUGUUUUCUUUCUGUCUGAAAAUAUUACAUCUGUAUCAAUAUAAUCACACAAAAAAGACAUGUAAACAUCUGCCCAAGUAAAUAAUAACUAUAGUUAUCCUCAGGUGGUGAAAUGAUUAAAGUUUUGCCCAUUCUAUUUUAUACAGGAAAAAAAGGCUUUUUAAAAAUGUAAGCUAAAGGUUAAAGAGGAGACAAUUGAUAUUUAAUGAGUGUCUUCUAUAUGAUAUGACAAGUAUACCUGAUUUUAAUCUUUAAGAUAUGCUAUUUAAAAAAGCUCUAUUUUACAGAUGAAGAUACUACAGUUUCUUAGCUGGUAAAUAGUUCAGCAGAAUUGAGUCUUUUGUGCCCAUUUGAAUAGAAAGCUUUCCCCUUAUACCAUGUUGCUUCAAGAAUUUACAUGUGGGGCUAGGGAUAUAACUUAGUUGGUAGAGUGCUUGCCUAGCGAUCACAAGGCCCUGGGUUCAAUCUCCAGUACCACCAAAUAAAGAAAGAAUUUACAUGUGUCAAGAUGCUGAUAAACAAAUUUGAAUACUGGAUAAAUGCUGUGUAAUUGAAACAUGAAUCGUGUGUA